rnacentral:rRNA from 1 species
UACGAGGGGGGCAAGUGUUGUUCGGAUUUACUGGGUGUAAAGGGAGUGUAGGCGGUCUGAUAAGUCAGGGGUGAAAUACCCACGCUUAACGUGGGUUCUGCCUUUGAUACUGUCGGACUUGAAUGUUGGAGAGGGUAACGGAAUUCCAGGUGUAGCGGUGGAAUGCGUAGAUAUCUGGAAGAACACCAGUUGCGAAGGCGGUUACCUGGCCGAACAUUGACGCUGAGGCUCGAAAGUCGGGGGAG